rnacentral:lncRNA from 1 species
GGUGGAACAGGUCUGUUAGGAGCAGGCUUUUACCUACUGAAGGUGGAACAUGUCUGUUAGGAGAAUGAUUUUACCUACUGAAGGUGGAACAGGUCUGUAGGAGCAGGAUUUUACAUACUGAAGGUGGAACAGGUCUGUUAGGAGCAGGCUUUUACCUACUGAAGGUGGAACAGGUCUGUUAGGAGAUGGAUUUCAAUACUGAAGGUGGAGUGGAUGUGUCUUAAGUGAUGUACAUUUAAGUUGUUGAGUGAAUGCUGCAAAUUGCUUAGUGUUGGUGAGAUUUUGCUUAGAUCUAGACUAGAUAGCUCAAAUAACAAAUGUGUAACUAUUGCAUUACCACUGUUUACAUAACAUUGUACGAUUGGGGAAUUUUAUUGUAUAAAUUUAUGAUCAUCUUCAACAGAAUAUUAUAUUUGUGAUGCCUGCAAUUACCAUCACAGCCACCAUUGGUUAGAACCUGAACAUGGCUCCCCACUGGUCAGUGUUAUCAUCCAUUGGCUGUGUGAUCUAAAGUAAGCUUCAGAGCCGAAUUGUAAGGUCAGAACCUGAACAUGGCUCCCCACUGGUCAGUGUUAUCAUCCAUAGUCUGUGAUCUAGAGUAAGCUUCAGAGCCGAAUUGUGAGGUUAGAACCUGAACAUGACUCCCCACUGGUCAGUGUUAUCAUCCAUAGGCUGCGUGAUCUAAAGUAAGCUUCGGAGCCGAAUUGUGAGGUUAUAACCUGAACAUGGCUCCCACUGGUCAGUGUUAUCAUCCAUAGUCUGUGAAGUCAGUUUAAAUCAGAUGCAGUGUGACGUCGCUGCACAUGAAAUGUGUUGAGUAGCUUGAAUAGAAUUGUGUGACCGCUUUGCAUGUUGUUUGUUUAUUUAACUAUCGGUAUACAGAUAAGAAAUGGCUGAUUAUGGCAAAAUAAUUACCAUUCAAAUAAACCAUAUAUAUGUACAGUAAAAUUAAAGGUGAAAAAAUAUCAACAAUUCAAUUGUAAAUUAAUAUUAUAUAUCCCCUUUUAAUAUAUUGACUAAACCACUGAUUACAGUUGAUUAAUAAACCUCUAGCAUUUUGUAAUAUUUUGACUAUGUUACAGCGAUUUAUACUGUAAGUAUACUACAAACCAAACCAUCUGAGAUAAUCACAGCUUGUUUGACUUAUCCCCAUCUCCUAGUAGAUAGAUGUAUGUUUAGAUAUAUAGUGUUAUGUUAUCACUUAUAACAUGUACCUGGUAAUAUGAAAGGUAUAACCUCAUUAAAAUUUAAUAAAUAAAAACAUUGUUAAAUCCAUUAACAGUUAAGCAGAGUUUUAAUGAGAUGAAGAAGAGAUAUUGUUUUCUUUUCUUUUCUAGGCAUUGGGUGGAAAGCAUUUUCAUAUCUAAAUUAGUGCUAGGAAAUAUUUUAAAGACUGAUGUGUUCAUUUCUUAUUACAAAUUGCAUUUAGAUAGAUAUGCUAGCCUACCUUAGUCAGAUUGUUACAAAUUGCUUAUUGGAAACUUUUUACGAGAGGUAACUUUUAACACAAACCACAGGUAUAAGAUGUAGCGUUAAGCUUAUGUGCAGUAAUUAUGAUAGAUAUAUCUGUUUCUCACCUACUGUACAGGGAUGUUGGCCUCAGUGGUGGUGAUAGAAAGUUCUACUUUGGUACCGGACAGCUGGCAUAUGUAUUACAACUAGGACCUGACAUUAUACUUGAAUGAUUAAAACCAGGUGUCAACAUUUCAAAGCUAAUUUGUCAAAAACGAGGAUAUGACUCCUUUGUGAUGUAGACAAAGUUUAUGCCCAGAAUUGGACAAAAAGCCAUGUUCUGAAAUAUCAAAAACCUACCGCUAGGUGUACCUUGGUUAUUCCUGUGUUGUGCUUAUAUUUGUAGGAAUAUAUAGUUCAUGUUUUUAUGUCUGUUUCGGUUUACUGUUUAUGUUAUUGCGAUUUUAUUUUAUUUUGAUUAAUGAGAUUUUGUUUUCGCUCUGGUUACAUCUUGUUGCAUAAUGAUUUGGUAUUUUUAAUGAGGAUUAAAUGAUAAAGAUGAAUACAGUUUCGAAAAUAGUCACUUGAUGAUUAUGUUUCAAACAUGUAUUGGGUCCUCAAACUCUGAAAAUGAACUAAAAACUGUCUCUCUUUAUUGAAAUAUGGUGCUUGCUUUUAAAA